GUUGAUGACGUACCACGGAGGACACCAUCUCCAGAAAAGGAGGGCCUGAAAGAUGCUACGCAUCAGCCACAUGAAGAGCCGCGUGAGUUUCGUCCAGUUCCCCAGUUCCAGAUUGACAGAAGCGGCGGAGACUGCCGGGACGCAGACAGGGAGGUGUGGCCCCGUGGAUUUGCACCGAGCCGUCCUGUGUCCGACCAGCAUCACCGCGUCACACGCGGUACACAACGGUACACCGACAAGCGAGACUCAGUACCCGCACGACACGCAUAACUUUGCUCAGUCAAGCGACCUGGAAGCGAAGCCCCAGCACAUGUCCGUCCGCGGUCUUCCGUUCGCCAGCGGCCGGUCGUUCCUAAGCCUCAUCUGUUCCACCGGAUGACGCGUGCCGCAUAACCAUCCGUGCCUCGAAUUCGCACGCCUCUGUCCGGGCUAGACCGUGCAGUGCAGAGGCGAGUGAAGAUGCGAUGGACUUCGAAGUUUCCUGCUGAGCAGCCCAUUGCACACGUAUGCAAUCACACAGAUACACGUGUGCAAUGACACACAUACACGUGUGCAAUGGCACACAUACACGUGUGCAAUUACACAUACACGUAUGCAAUCACACAGAUACACGUGUGCAAUGCACACAUACACGUGUGCAAUCACACAUGAACAUGUGCGCAAUCACACACAUACACCUGUGCAAUCACUCACAUACACGUGUACAAUCACACACAUACACAUGUGGAAUCAUGGGUAUGCGGUGCUGGUUAAUGCGAGUGGUCACUCAAUGGCUGACUGUGUGUGAAGUGUUAAGUCUGGACUAAGGCAUAAUGCUUAAAAGGUUUACGGUGUUUGAAAGGCUGGCAGUAUGCACAUGUAGACAGAACUCAUCGAGGCUACCACUAAACGACGUCCCAUGAAUGCGAGACGUGUAUCACACUGAGAUAUGGUUGAUAUAAACAUCGCAACACAACCGUACGGUAAGGAUCAGCGGUUGUGCACAGCAAACUACAUGAAAACAGAUUGGGGAUGAACGAAAAUGUCAUGCAAAGGCAGCAUGUCGAAAGAACAUCACGGAAGAUGGCAUGGGAUGAGUUCGAUGGCAAUGCCCUCACGACGCGCAGAACGCUACGGCAGCUGAAAAACUGAGCCGAGUUUAUCGUCUGAGCACAGCAGCUGUCUGGAACAACGCGGAGCGCAGCGACCACUAGGGGACAAACACGCCUAUGUCACGCAUGACGGACCAGCGACGAAAAUAUCUGCUGCAGCCGCCCUCGAGCGCCCCCGGGCGGUCACGUGACCUCUCGCACGUCCGUUCCUGCGGAGGAAAGGCGAGCCGUGCCUCGCCCUCGGACGAUCACGUGACCUCUCGCACGUCCGUCCGCGGAGGAAAGGCGAGCCGCCCUCG